rnacentral:rRNA from 1 species
UACGGAGGGUGCGAGCGUUGUCCGGAAUUAUUGGGCGUAAAGGGCUCGUAGGCGGUUUGUCGCGUCGGGAGUGAAAACUCAGGGCUUAACCCUGAGCCUGCUUCCGAUACGGGCAGACUAGAGGUAUGCAGGGGAGAACGGAAUUCCUGGUGUAGCGGUGAAAUGCGCAGAUAUCAGGAGGAACACCGGUGGCGAAGGCGGUUCUCUGGGCAUUACCUGACGCUGAGGAGCGAAAGUGUGGGGAGCGAACAGG